AAUACGCAUAGAAUAUUACAGCGAGAGACGACUUGAUUACAUUUAAAAACGUAUACUGUCCUCGUGGACUAGAUGCGUUACGGAUAGCAGGUGUGUGAAACGUCACACUCGGGACUAACGUCCUGCGUAAAGCUCAUGGGGCUGUCGGACGUGGAACGGCCAUCGCCGCGGCAACGCGGUUGGCGACCCCCAAUUGCAGCCGGUUAGCGUAACGCAUCGUAACCGCGGUACGCGUUGUGGUACGGCACGGGGCCCGUUUUGUUAUUGUGACCGCGACGGGAGACCAACGUCGUCACCGUCGAUCCCGCCGCUGCCGCCCCUCGUCCGUCCGCGCCUCGAGAGGGUCCGGCAGAACGGGGAGAGGGACCGAGGUGGCUCGUCGACCGCGAUCAAAGUAGUCGGGGGUACGCCGGACCGCGACACGGGCGCGUACUUCCGUUCCCGCUUCCCGGGCAACGUCGCGAUUAAAUGCGCGCGACGGGGUUUCGUAUUGCUAUAAUGUUAUACGGCCUACGAUAAUAAUGUCCGUUUGUUACGCCGGCGACGAGCAUAACAGCCGGGUAUAUAUAAGUACCUGAAGGAACUCUCCGGGAUCCCUCUGCAUAGCGACACGUACAUGGGUGGGCACGUGCGCGGACACCGGGUUUAUAAUACGGAAUACGAUUUACGGAAUAUCGCGGGCUGUGGACGGCGGCGGUGGCGGCGACACUCUGCGUCGUCUGCGUCGUCACAAUAUUACGGAAUCGACUGCGGCUACGGGAACAACGCGUCGACGACGUGACGUGCGAGCACUGUCGACGAAACGGUGACGGCCGGUGGAGCGGUCGGAGCGGUGGCGUUCUGUUGGCGACGACGGACGGGUACGACGGCGAUCGGCAUCGGAGUACGUCUGCACGGCGAUCGCAUGGUCCGGGACCACGGGCCGAUAAUGAUAAUAAUUCGAUCGUUAUCGUUGUCGUUGUUGUUGUUAUUGUUAUUAUUAAUUUUGCGGUUCGUCCGUCCGUAUAAUUUAUCGUCGACAGAUAAUGCCUAUCGUCCUAUCGUCCAAACGAUAUUCGGUCGGGCGAACUCGAUCGGUUUCCGUACGGAACGCCGACGACGGAACCGGUGGACGGGAGUACGGGACUCGGACACUGCAACGCGCGCGCGGAAUAAAAACAACGCGGCGCGGAUGCAGCUGUGGUCGUGAUGGGCGCACGGGUGUUGCGAGGUUACCGAUCG